AUUGAACGCUGGCGGCAUGCCUUACACAUGCAAGUCGAACGGCAGCACGGGAGCAAUCCUGGUGGCGAGUGGCGAACGGGUGAGUAAAGUAUCGGAACGUGCCCAGUCGUGGGGGAUGACGUAGCGAAAGUUACGCUAAUACCGCAUACGAUCUAUGGAUGAAAGCGGGGGAUCGCAAGACCUCGCGCGCUUGGAGCGGCCGAUAUCGGAUUAGGUAGUGGGUGGGGUAAAGGCUCACCAAGCCGACGAUCUGUAGCUGGUCUGAGAGGACGACCAGCCACACUGGGACUGAGACACGGCCCAGACUCCUACGGGAGGCAGCAGUGAGGAAUUUUGGACAAUGGGCGCAAGCCUGAUCCAGCCAUGCCGCGUGCAGGAUGAAGGCCUUCGGGUUGUAAACUGCUUUUGUACGGAACGAAAAGGUUUGACUUAAUACGUUGGACUCAUGACGGUACCGUAAGAAUAAGCACCGGCUAACUACGUGCCAGCAGCCGCAGUAA
rnacentral:rRNA from 1 species